rnacentral:lncRNA from 10 species
GCCAGAAUCCAAUUUCAGAAACCACAAAAUCAACAUAAACGUGUGCAAAAAUAAAAAGGUUUGUUUGGCAAGUAAUAAGGAGAAGGCUACCAAUGUAUAAAACACAUGAACCAAGGUGACCUCAGCCAACUGAAGCUAUAAUGACGAUGAUGUCCACAGCAGAUUUGGCACCUCUGAAACGAGCGGUAACAAGACACAGUCCACGCCGCUUUCUGUUAUCAGAUAAAGAAACUUUUAGUCCGAGAGGUGAAGGUGAUUCAAGGACAUCUGGGUGAAAGAAAGCUGAGCCAGUUCUUCAUUUGAGCUGCAGUCAAGAGGACAAUCUCUACUGGGUAAAAAUGCUUUAUAAAGAUGAUGUUUCUUGGUUGGUAGAGUAAAAUUUUGCAUUUCAUUUCCAAUAAAUAAUGCUAUUCAUUAGAAACUUUUUCAAAACUCUCAAAGUGCUACUAAGCCUCCAUUAGAGUAUUUUCUCUCUCUCUCUUCCAUCAUUAUCCACAUUCUCACUACCUGUACAAAGUGAUUCAGUGAAAACUGGAUUCAAAAGGAUUAGUCUCUGUAUUUCCAAAAGAGUUUCAGCCCAUCUCUGGAUGAGUUUCUAAUAAAAUUCAGUGAAAUAUAAUUGUAUAUGCUAGAUAGCUUUUGCUUCCCUCCACUCCCAGUAUGCUUUCUCUCUUUGUCCUUGACCCUCUAUUCUGUGCCCAGAAAGGCUGACCUGUAAGGAUUGUAACAGUGGUCCCCUCGACCUCUGGCUUCCAGUGGGUUCAACCAAUGGGAGACCUUGACAAGAGAUUUGAAGGAGGAAAGAAAGUGGGGUUUAAAUAUUUAUCCCACCAGCUCCCUCCUUGCUGGUGACUCAGAUAGCCACUGAUGUUAUCUGAAGAAUCUCUUUAUAAAAUGUCUUUCUCUUGGUUACAGAAAUGACUUCUAACUAUUACAUCAACUAGCUCCAUGGAACUGCAAUUUCUCUUGAUGGUUUCUCCAAACUCUGCCCACAUGUAUAUAGUCAGUUUUACUAUAAAUCAUUUCAGAUAACCCAGAUUGGAUGAGAUUCAUUGAGGGCCCUGGCAUAAAAGGACAGGAACACUCAGACUGGGCUCCCAUCUUUUUGAUAGAUUCCAAAAAUGUGAGCCCAGGACUCUACACACAUCUGCGAUGUUGAAAAGAUCAGUCUGUUGAGAAGGGCUUUAGUAGCUCAAAGUACAACUGCAGUAUUAAUUUUAUUGCCCAAAUGAUAAAAAAGCAAGUAAAUAAAAUGACCCUAUUCAAUAACUUUUUUUUGGCGGGGUUGGGGAUAGUAGGAAGGAAUUGAUUCAGAAUCAGGCAUAAAUUAAAUUUAUAUGAAUGAGAUUUAAAUGAUGAUUUCAACUUAGUAAAAUUUGCUCCAGUGAAUAGGCUACUUCAGAGAGUAACAAGAAAUAAUCAGAAUAAUUAAAGGUCAGCCUGUAGUAAUUGAGUAAAUUUGCCUAUUUUCACUUGGUAUGAUAUUAAUUUGAACUGAUUAUCAUGCCAGGACUUUAAUAUUUUUAUUGAAAGGUCAUUUUGGACAAAACAAGCUACAGGAUUUUAUAUAUAUACAUAUAUGCAUAUAAAUAUGUAUAUGGAUAUAUACAUACAUGUGUAUAUUAUAUGUGCACAUAAAUAUAUAUGACAUAGGAAUUCCACUGUUAACUUACUCAAUGGUUUCUACUGUACAACUCACAAAUGCAAAGUAUAUCAUUCAAAUUCUGAUUUUAUGCUUCUAGCAAACAAAUAAGUAAACAAAUGAAUUAUUUUUUAAAAAUAGUCCAAUGUUAAAUAAUAUAUAUUUCAUGUAGAUUUUCCAAUUUAUAAAUAAAAUUUAUUUCCAGCUAAAUGUAGGACUUAUGUUGCUCAUUGAGUUCUAAUUAUUAUUUUCUCUUGCAACACGCUGUGGCAUUUUGGUGAACUAUUUUGGCAUCAGUAAAUUCCUAAGUAUAGUCAAUAGACUCCUAUUAAUAUAGUAGGGUAUUUUUAGCUCAGGCUUUAGCUUUUUAAAACCACAGUGCUUAAAGUGUCCCCUUACAGAAAAAAAAAAUUACUAUGUUCAAGUAUAACCCCAUUCAUAUAUAUCUACCCAAGUGCUUUCGUCUAUGAAAUGAGUAUUUGACUGAUAAAUACAUACAUAUUUAAUUUUGUAACUUUCCCCACAAUAAAUUAUUUGUAUAAAAC